ACCGCGCCUCCCCCAAAUCCGAUUCGUCGAUGGCGGCAUCCCUGACCUCCAUGCGUCCGGAUCUCGUCCUCCCGUGCUCAGCCCCGCCGCCCUCACAUCCGCAUUCCGCGAUCCGCCCUCAUCCUCCCGUGCGCAGCCCCGCCACCUCUCCCCGGCUCCAUCAUUCCGGCAUGAUGACGGCUGCAGCGUUCCACCCUCCUCCUCCUCCUCACGUGCGCAGCCCCAGUCCUCCUCGCCCGCACAUACACCUGAAGCCAAUAGAACCCCACAAAAUCUGGGGGCGAAGCUGCAGAAAAUGUGCCUAUCGGAUCCCCUCCCGCCCUCCGGAUCCCUACCCUCGCCAGGAUCCCGGAUCUCUCGCCGAGCAGCCGGCGUGCCGCGUCCGAUGCGAUCCGUGCCCCUGCCGCGCCGCCAGAGUCGACGAUGAAUCGGGUAACGCGGUAACACCUCCGGCUCCCGCCCCGCUCCCAACUUUGGCCCGAGCCGACGUGCGCCUGCGGACUCGCAGCGCUUGUCGUGCUCCUCCUCGCUUCGGCCCUGCUCCCUAGCCUUCCUCGCUACGGCACACUCUCACAGCAUCUUCACCUUUACUUCAAAAGAACAAUUUCUAUGGGCAAAUUCCCAGAGAGUUUGGAACGCUGACUGAUCUAGAAGUGCUAGAUUUGAGCAGCAACAGCUUGGAUGGAGCAAUUCCGGAAGAACUAAGAGCAAUGCCACUGCUCAGACAACUAUCGCUUCAUGAUAACCAGUUCCAAGAAGGUGUCUCUUCUUUCGAUGUCCACGAGAUAGUUGCUGUCUUGCUGAUCAAGCAGGAUGCUUGAGCAGAAAAAUAGGGUGCUGGUCAGGCUAUAAGGACUGGAUUUCUCUCAGUGGCCUCCGAGAGAAAUAUUACACAAAUAUACCUAGUAUUUUUGCAUUUUCAUUCUGCUUUAUGUUACAUAUACUGCAUCAAACAUUUAUAGCCUUGUAUGCAUGUCUUUCAGGUUUCAGUGAGGCACACAUAAUGCAGAAUUUGCAGUCCUUUGCAAGUGCCAUGCAGUCCUUGAAGCUGGCAACCUGCCUGCUCUCCUCUUUCAGGGAAUGAUGCUAAAUCUUCUGAUCCGGCAAAUUCAAAAGAAACCCAAAGACCUGUUGAUGUACUUUCUCUAGGGAGUGGAUCAUUCCCUGCAUUUCCAAAAUCAGAUGGCCAAAUUCUGAUGCCUUUGGUUCCUGAAGUGAUUGAUGCUACCACAGUGCAGCAGUUAUCUACAGAAGUGGCCCACUCGACUGAUGAAGAAUUGACUGGCGCUAAGUAUAGCAAGUGGGCAUAUUUGAUCAUAAUUCCGGCUGCAAUAUUGCUUAUUAGCCUGAUUGUUGCAUUUAUUUUGGUUUGGCGAAUGCGAGGGCGUGUGCCAAUUAGUCCCUUGGAAAACAGGGCUAAGUGGAGCUCUUCAAAAGGCUAAUGUAACAGACUUGAGCUUGAAGCCGCUUGUGAGGAUUUCAGCAACAUCAUCAAUACUUAUCCGAGCUGCACUGUGUUCAAGGGGAUACUUUCUAGCGGAGUUGAUGUUGUUGUUAUCUCCACUGUCAUUUCAUCCAACAAAGAAUGGCCUGGGAGUUCAGAAACGUGCUUCAGAAAAAGGUUCAAGACUAGCAACAUCUUGUUCUCAACACAAACAACAUGAAAAAACAAAAAAGAUUUUUCAAUGCUAACUGUGUAUAAGAGCUGCUAGAGGCGAGGUGGCGCGUGGCAGAUAAGGCAACGCGCUGUCGGAGAAAGCAAGGAACAAAGGCAAUUGGGUUGUUCGGUUAGAGGAGAUGAUGGCGGAUCGUUGGAUGUACAUCCAAUGGCGAGGGAUGUUUGACUGAAAAACUCCAUUUUUCAGUCACUAAGAACAUUUUAUGCGAGAUAUUCUUAUACAUAGAUAUCUCUAGGAUGUUAUUGUGGAGAUGUUAUUUUUGUUAUAUUCAUGUUAGACAAGAAAUCAAGAGUCAUGAUAUUGCACUAAUGUUGGAUCUUAGGCAUCGUAGAGCAUUAUUGCCCUAUAAAUUAAGUAUUAUCUUUACCAUCAUGUU